rnacentral:rRNA from 1 species
CCUACGGGGCGCUGCAGUGGGGAAUAUUGGACAAUGGGCGAAAGCCUGAUCCAGCCAUGCCGCGUGUGUGAAGAAGGCCUUCGGGUUGUAAAGCACUUUCAGUGGGGAAGAAAGCCUUGGGGCUAAUACCCUCGAGGAAGGACAUCACCCACAGAAGAAGCACCGGCUAACUCCGUGCCAGCAGCCGCGGUAAUACGGAGGGUGCGAGCGUUAAUCGGAAUUACUGGGCGUAAAGCGCGCGUAGGCGGUCUGAUAAGCCGGUUGUGAAAGCCCCGGGCUCAACCUGGGAACGGCAUCCGGAACUGUCAGGCUAGAGUGCAGGAGAGGAAGGUAGAAUUCCCGGUGUAGCGGUGAAAUGCGUAGAGAUCGGGAGGAAUACCAGUAGCGAAGGCGGUCUUCUGGACUGACACUGACGCUGAGGUGCGAAAGCGUGGGUAGCAAACAGGAUUAGAUACCCGAGUAGUC